rnacentral:rRNA from 1 species
GAUGAACGCUGGCGGCGUGCCUAAUACAUGCAAGUCGAGCGAACAGAUGAGGAGCUUGCUCCUCUGACGUUAGCGGCGGACGGGUGAGUAACACGUGGAUAACCUACCUAUAAGACUGGGAUAACUUCGUGAAACCGGAGCUACUACCGGAUAAUAUAUUGAACCGCAUGGUUCAAUAGUGAAAGACGGUUUUGCUGUCACUUAUAGCUGGAUCCGCGCCGCAUUAGCUAGUUGGUAAGGUAACGGCUUACCAAGGCAACGAUGCGUAGCCGACCUGAGAGGAUGAUCGGCAACACUGGAACUGAGACACGGUCCAGACUCCUACGGGAGGCAGCAGUAGGGAAUCUUCCGCAAUGGGCGAAAGCCUGACGGAGCAACGCCGCGUGAGUGAUGAAGGUCUUCGGAUCGUAAAACUCUGUUAUUAGGGAAGAACAAAUGUGUAAGUAACUAUGCACGUCUUGACGGUACCUAAUCAGAAAGCCACGGCUAACUACGUG